rfam:Canis lupus familiaris chromosome 23, whole genome shotgun sequence.
UUGUUUUUUAAUAAUAACUGUCUUGCUCUUGCCCCUGGGGGCCCAGUGUGCAAUGACUGCAAACGGAAGCCUCUUUGGUAGUGUAUGCAGCCUGUUGACUGGAUGGGUUGCCCUAAGGGACCCUGGAGAAAACC